UACGUAGGGGGCAAGCGUUGUCCGGAUUUAUUGGGCGUAAAGAGCGUGUAGGCGGCUAGGUAGGUCCGUUGUGAAAACUCGAGGCUCAACCUCGAGACGCCGAUGGAAACCAUCUGGCUAGAGUCCGGAAGAGGAGAGUGGAAUUCCUGGUGUAGCGGUGAAAUGCGCAGAUAUCAGGAAGAACACCCGUGGCUAAGGCGGCUCUCUAGUACGGUACUGACGCUGAGACGCGAAGGCGUGGGGAGCGAACAGG
rnacentral:rRNA from 1 species